UCAGUGGGCCUUGUUGAGGGAGAUAAAUGAUGUCUUUUGGACUGUACCACUUCAGAGACUCAGAGAGACAUUUCCACGUUCAGACAGCACUAAAAUCCUUAGAAGAGGGGGAAGGUCUAAACAUCAGAAGGCAGAGGAGAAGAAACCUUCAUCAAGAGAAAGUUGGAGAAUGCUUCAAGAACCUAAACGUCAAGCCCACUGCUCCUCUCACUUUCCUAAUAAUCACCUCAUCAAAUGAAAAUUAAAACUCAUCAGACCAGAGACGGUGGAAGCGCAAAGUGGAGCGAAAGAAGAGGAUGAAGAUGAGUGGAAAGAAUUUGAACAAAAAGAGGUUGAUUACAGUGGCCUCCGAGUUCAGGCGAUGCAAAUAAGUGAAAAGGAAGAAGAAGAUAAUGAAAAAAGAGAAGAUCCAGGUGAAAACUGGGAAGAAGGUGGAGGUGGUGGUGGUGGAGUAGAGAAGUCUUUAGGUCCCUGGAAUAAAACCGCUCCGGUACAAGCACCUCCUGCUGCAGUAAUUGUUACAGAAGCCCCAGAACCAGCGAUGACUAGUGGUGUGUACAGGCCCCCUGGAGCCAGGUUAACCACAACGAGGAAAACGCCGCAAGGCCCACCCGAAAUCUACAGCGACACACAGUUCCCGUCCCUGCAGUCCACUGCCAAGCAUGUAGAAAGCCGGAAAUACUGAGCCUUCAUAAGGGCUGACUACCUCAGGUUUGCUGCACUCGUCACGGACGUCAUGUGGAUCACAACUUCUGGACACGAAGGUUACAGCUACAAAAUUUCGUUGGGGGUUAUGUUAUUGAGGAAUGAACUGAGGAACACGCGGAACUUUUUAUUUAUGGCAUACUAUACUAGAAAUCUGAAGACCUACAGGAGAUACAAAGUUCCAACUCUUGUUAUAACUUUUUAAAAGAUUGUGAAAUUAUAAAAAUGCACAUGAAUCAAGUUUUAAUAUACUGUAUGAUGGGUGGGUGAGGCUGUCCAUUGUACCAUUUCUUUCUUUGAAUUCUCAGGCGUGGUUUGGCAGUGCAGGAACUCUGUAACAUUAACAAACUCAAUAAAAAGAAAAUAUAUGGA